ACCCUACGGGUGGCUGCAGUGGGGAAUAUUGGACAAUGGGCGCAAGCCUGAUCCAGCCAUGCCGCGUGAGUGAUGAAGGCCCUAGGGUUGUAAAGCUCUUUCACCGAUGAAGAUAAUGACGGUAGUCGGAGAAGAAGCCCCGGCUAACUUCGUGCCAGCAGCCGCGGUAAUACGAAGGGGGCUAGCGUUGUUCGGAAUUACUGGGCGUAAAGCGCACGUAGGCGGAUAUUUAAGUCAGGGGUGAAAUCCCAGAGCUCAACUCUGGAACUGCCUUUGAUACUGGGUAUCUCGAGUAUGGAAGAGGUGAGUGGAAUUCCGAGUGUAGAGGUGAAAUUCGUAGAUAUUCGGAGGAACACCAGUGGCGAAGGCGGCUCACUGGUCCAUUACUGACGCUGAGGUGCGAAAGCGUGGGGAGCAAACAGGAUUAGAUACCCGUGUAGUCG
rnacentral:rRNA from 1 species